rnacentral:rRNA from 2 species
AAAUUGAAGAGUUUGAUCAUGGCUCAGAUUGAACGCUGGCGGCAGGCCUAACACAUGCAAGUCGAACGGUAACAGGAAUCAGCUUGCUGAUUCGCUGACGAGUGGCGGACGGGUGAGUAAUGUCUGGGAAACUGCCUGAUGGAGGGGGAUAACUACUGGAAACGGUAGCUAAUACCGCAUAAUGUCGCAAGACCAAAGAGGGGGACCUUCGGGCCUCUUGCCAUCGGAUGUGCCCAGAUGGGAUUAGCUAGUAGGUGGGGUAACGGCUCACCUAGGCGACGAUCCCUAGCUGGUCUGAGAGGAUGACCAGCCACACUGGAACUGAGACACGGUCCAGACUCCUACGGGAGGCAGCAGUGGGGAAUAUUGCACAAUGGGCGCAAGCCUGAUGCAGCCAUGCCGCGUGUAUGAAGAAGGCCUUCGGGUUGUAAAGUACUUUCAGCGGGGAGGAAGGGAGUAAAGUUAAUACCUUUGCUCAUUGACGUUACCCGCAGAAGAAGCACCGGCUAACUCCGUGCCAGCAGCCGCGGUAAUACGGAGGGUGCAAGCGUUAAUCGGAAUUACUGGGCGUAAAGCGCACGCAGGCGGUUUGUUAAGUCAGAUGUGAAAUCCCCGGGCUCAACCUGGGAACUGCAUCUGAUACUGGCAAGCUUGAGUCUCGUAGAGGGGGGUAGAAUUCCAGGUGUAGCGGUGAAAUGCGUAGAGAUCUGGAGGAAUACCGGUGGCGAAGGCGGCCCCCUGGACGAAGACUGACGCUCAGGUGCGAAAGCGUGGGGAGCAAACAGGAUUAGAUACCCUGGUAGUCCACGCCGUAAACGAUGUCGACUUGGAGGUUGUGCCCUUGAGGCGUGGCUUCCGGAGCUAACGCGUUAAGUCGACCGCCUGGGGAGUACGGCCGCAAGGUUAAAACUCAAAUGAAUUGACGGGGGCCCGCACAAGCGGUGGAGCAUGUGGUUUAAUUCGAUGCAACGCGAAGAACCUUACCUGGUCUUGACAUCCACGGAAGUUUUCAGAGAUGAGAAUGUGCCUUCGGGAACCGUGAGACAGGUGCUGCAUGGCUGUCGUCAGCUCGUGUUGUGAAAUGUUGGGUUAAGUCCCGCAACGAGCGCAACCCUUAUCCUUUGUUGCCAGCGGUCCGGCCGGGAACUCAAAGGAGACUGCCAGUGAUAAACUGGAGGAAGGUGGGGAUGACGUCAAGUCAUCAUGGCCCUUACGACCAGGGCUACACACGUGCUACAAUGGCGCAUACAAAGAGAAGCGACCUCGCGAGAGCAAGCGGACCUCAUAAAGUGCGUCGUAGUCCGGAUUGGAGUCUGCAACUCGACUCCAUGAAGUCGGAAUCGCUAGUAAUCGUGGAUCAGAAUGCCACGGUGAAUACGUUCCCGGGCCUUGUACACACCGCCCGUCACACCAUGGGAGUGGGUUGCAAAAGAAGUAGGUAGCUUAACCUUCGGGAGGGCGCUUACCACUUUGUGAUUCAUGACUGGGGUGAAGUCGUAACAAGGUAACCGUAGGGGAACCUGCGGUUGGAUCACCUCCUUA